GCAGCAUUGCAGGUGUUGGUGUUCAUCUCUCUCUUUAUCAUUACCCAGAUUACAAGUGAAAAAACCAUUCAUAUUCUUGUUUCAAAGUGCAGAAAAAGGUUCUGCCCUGGGUGACCCAACAUUUAGUAAGGCUCAUGAAUCUCACAAAAAGAAAAGAAAAAUGGAAAAUUUCUUCCAGUCAGAUAACAAAAGGGAAUAUUAAAGGCUUGACAAUAGAUGAUUAAAAGGUUUACCUAAAUCUUUCCUAUUCAAAGAUAGGGUUCUUUUUAUGGCAUUCUUUUUAUAAAAACUGUAAAAGUGUAUUUCAUCAGAUUUUUGUAAUUAAAUCUCUCAUUGUAAGGUGCCCAAUCAUACAUUAGAAGCUCUUUCUACAACGUGAAGAAAAUUAUCCUGCAAGCUCUUGGAGUGGAGUUUUUGCAGUCACAAAUAGAAGCUUUAAAAUACUAUCUUAGCUGUACCACUGCCAAGAAAUACAAACCAUCUUCUAUUUCUUCUUCUUUCAGGAGAAGAAACAGGAGGAUGCUGAUGGGGAGGAGGAAGAAUAGGCUGUUGGUUUUACAGCUCCUUGCAGUCAAACUGAAUCAGUAAGGAGUCUGCACUGGAAACAGAACAUGUACAUCUCCUACUGCCACCUUCCCAAAGAACCCAACCUUUUCCAGCCACUAGGAAAUGUGGCAGGGAAGAUGGGGGCAAAGAGAAUGGCAAGUCCAGCUCUUUUUCAGGAACUGCCAAAUUGCUCCAAACACAGCUCUUGAAAACUAAUCUGGAAGGAAUUUUCCUGCAAUAGUGACUCAUGUUUUUAUGAAAUUUUUUUUACAAAUCUGAUUUCCAAGAGGGUCUUAAAAGUAACUAUAGUCUUAGUGUUAUUUGGUGCUGCAGGAACAAACACAGAAGAUGCCACGGAAAAAAAUAAAUUGAAUUAACGAAUGCAAAAGCAAUUCUCAAGAUGCAAUGAAGGCACCCUUCCUCCUCCCACUAGCACUGCUGUGCAUAAGCAGGAAACCUGGGACAGAAGAGAGAAAAUGGAAGAGGAAAGGAAAGGAAAGUGUGCCCUCCUUACACCCUCCUUGUUUUUCAUGGCCUACAAACAGGUGCCUGCCUCUCACAGCAGAGCAGGUCACCCUGUGCUACUGCAUUCCUUCUCCUUUAGACAGGAAUACAAACUCCUGCUCUACCCCAGCAGUCAGCUUUACUCAACCCAGCUAGGAAGUGCAGAUCAACUCUAAGCUCUGUUCCUUCUGAAUCACUCAAUGCAUGCUGAGCUCAGGGAGGAGAUGAUGUGUGGGUGGCAUUGCACUAAACUGUCCUCAACCAACACCUAUUUCUACACCUGAAUUUUUAUAUAGCAAGGAAAAUUCAUAUUUACUCCCUUCUCACUUCUUGCCUGAAUCCAAGAUUCAGUGCCUUUCAUGUCACAGAUAGAUGGGAAUGCUUCAUAAACAAAGGUCAAGCUGUGAAAAUCAGACAAAGCAUGGAAUAAACAAAUAAAUGUGCCUUA